rnacentral:tRNA from 1 species
GACCUCAUAGCUCAGUUGGCAGAGCGUUGGGCUAGUAUUCCAAAGGUCGUAGGUUCGAUUCCCACCGUGGCCA